AUCUGGCGGCAGUCAUGGAAAAUUGUUGUCGGAUUUGGACUAUAGGCUAACUCUACUAUGACGACCACGUUUGAAAUCACUUGAACAUGUGUUUUCAGCCACUGAAGAUCCACUGCAACUUAAGUCGGAUUCAUAUUCGUUGCUGUCCUGCUUUUUAAUGGGUCUUAAACGUGAUAGUUCAAGCAUGGGUAGUGAUAACUGUCCUCGUCAAGUUUUGGUCUUACGUUGAGGAUAAUUUACUUAAAUACUGUAAACCUCUAAAUGAAUGUGAUGAAACAACUUAUCCACUCUGAGGUUGUUCGUCUAGGUCCAUUUGUGUACAAUGGAGAAUUCACUUGGAAGGUCUUAUUCGGUGGGGAGGCGAGCGUUUCUUCUCUCAGUGGGGUGUCCCGUUUAGUUGUUUUUUUACAGGAAUUCUAAUAUGUUGAUGGGUUCUGCAUUCAUCAUUCACUGUUAGGUUGUUUGCCUUUUGGAUGAUUGCAUCUCACAUACUCCUUUCCUCAAGUGAUGGAUGUGGACAUUUUUGCUGGUGUUGGUGUGCAGUUCUCACGUCCCAGUUGGAUGUUUUCUAAUGGUUUCUGCUAAGCUGUAGAUUGUUCCGUUACCGAACUAUUUGCGUCAAUCGGGUUCACUGUGGUGGGGUCCUUUGCGUUUUGUAGGGGUUUUUCAUCAGGUGUGGAUUCCGCUUGUCCGUUUAUAGUCUUGCAGCUCUUGCUACCGUUUGUUGAUUGUGAUGUUUUCGCGUUGCCCUCUUCGGACUACUUGCUUCAUGGUUGGAGCCUUGGAUGUCUAAUGGUUUUCGUAUACUGAUGAGUAUAGCUCAUGGGCUUUGUCUUUAUGUCAAUUGCUUCAUACCAAAUAAACAAUUUUAAGAAAUCA